rnacentral:rRNA from 1 species
UACGAAGGGUGCAAGCGUUACUCGGAAUUACUGGGCGUAAAGCGUGCGUAGGUGGUUUGUUAAGUCUGUUGUGAAAGCCCCGGGCUCAACCUGGGAAUGGCAAUGGAUACUGGCAGGCUAGAGUGCGGUAGAGGGUAGUGGAAUUCCCGGUGUAGCGGUGAAAUGCGUAGAGAUCGGGAGGAACACCAGUGGCGAAGGCGGCGACCUGGUCCGACACUGACGCUGAGGCGCGAAGGCGUGGGGAGCGAACGGG